rnacentral:rRNA from 1 species
AUGUGCCCGCCCGCGCCGCGGAAGUCGGCGCCGGCGCCAACGAGGAAGCGUGCGCCGCUGCAGCAGCGGCUCUUCUUCUACCCGGUGCCUCGCGACCUGAUCGCCGUCUUCGUCGCCGUGCCACAGUGCCGCUGUCGUGACAUAGUUGGACUCGAGCGGCCACCCAUCGAGAGUACGUACGACGUACGCGGUGCAUGGGCAGUGACCACCGCACAACGUGUCGUCGAGCUUGCCGAUGAGCGUUGUGGCGCAAGUAGCUUGGAAGAUCAUCCACAGAUCGAUCGUGGCAACGGUGCAGCAAUCAUCCUUGAUUAUCGUGCUUGCAAUGAUCCAAAGGCCAGAGGGAACAAACACAUGGAAGCAGCAGAGCAGGAGUCGGGCUCUGAAUUUUAUACAAGUGGGGGCCGAGAUCGACCGGGAAGAAGAAGGUAUCCGAUGCCCUGGACGCUUGCUGCUUGGAGCAUACUGCUCGCCGCCGGCUACCAUCGUUAA